rnacentral:ncRNA from 2 species
UUAAUAUUAUACAAAAUGAGUAUAUUGUCUUUGCAAACAUAAAGAUAAUAUUUAAAAGAGAAGUCAGUCUAAUUCUGACGCGGUCCCGCCACUGUAAUAGGGAGUAGCUUUACAAAAUGUCACUGGAGUUAUCCGGGAAGACGUAAGGUUGCGAUGAACUUAAGCCAGGAUACCUGCUCAUUUUGGAAUUCACCU